AAAAGAAGAUGGCGGACGGUCUGUUUUGUUGAAUAUUCGAGUGUUUCUCUAAACAAGUUUAUCAACGAGUAGUUAAUCCUGCUGAAGCAACUUUCACAGAGUUUAAAGGAAUCAUCGUCAAGUCGGAGGAAGAGAUGGAUGAUCAGCGCAGACUGCUGGAUUUCUCCCGGACUCCCCGGAUAAUCUUACACCGGAUAGAUUGCCUGCAAUGUAACGUUUGUAACCAGGAGAGGAGAUCCAUUCGGGACCAGGAGGAGUUAGAACUUCUGCAGGU